rnacentral:rRNA from 1 species
CACGUAGGGACCAAGCGUUGUCCGGAUUCAUUGGGCGUAAAGAGCUCGUAGGCGGCUCAGUAAGUCGGGUGUGAAACCUCCAGGCUCAACCUGGAGACGCCACCCGAUACUGCUGUGGCUAGAGUCCAGUAGGGGAGCGUGGAAUUCCUGGUGUAGCGGUGAAAUGCGCAGAUAUCAGGAGGAACACCAGCGGCGAAGGCGGCGCUCUGGGCUGGCACUGACGCCGAGGAGCGAAAGCGUGGGGAGCGAACAGG